CGGCNACCGCCCCGGGCCCGGCCCCGGAACCGCAGCCGUGAGGGGACGUGGUGCUGCGGCGUCCGGGCCGCGCUGGCUGCGUCGGUGGAAAUGCCCCUUCUGCGUCCCGGCUCGGCUCCGCAUCGACCGCGGAGGUGAUGGGGCGAGGUGCCUCCGGGUCUCGGUGGGUUUGAAAGCUGGGGGCUUGGAAAAGGGGCUUCCAGGACCCUACAGACCCAACGCACUCCCCGCCCAACAGACUUCACUCUAAGACUUUGGAGCAUCUUGUUGAUUUUCAGGAUCAUGAAAUACUGAAAUGGUGUCAUAUGUCAAUUAUUAUUAUUUUUGGCAAGAAUUACCAGAAAGAGCUCGACUUGAUUGCCACCUUUUCCAUACCACAGUGACAGACAGUUCAGACAAAAUAUUACUUGGAAUUUAUGAGGCACAAAAAGCCCAUCUCCAUUAUAAUACCAGAACCUUACUGCAGAAGAGUGCAGGCUACCAAGUGUCCCAGCUCUGCAGAUAAAACAAUCUCCCACAGUUAUGGACAAACCCUAAUGGAUCUUUAUUCAACAUGAUGUCUUUCUGAAACAGUGCUGUUAGUAAGUAUGCAGAAGUAACUUUUUAUGCAUGUAACAGAAAGUGACUACAUCCAACAUUCAUAAGCAAUAAAGGUGGUAGGGGUAUGGAAGAGACAUUUGACCAAUUUAAGUGCUAUCAAAAGCUCAAUACGCUGUCAAACAGCCCAGCAGGCAAGUGCUGCUUUCACAAACACACCACCACUGACUGGUGAAAUUACUAUCACAAGAUGGGGCACACAAGCCUAAAUGACAGCUUGCUCUUCUACUGCUGUGUUUUGGUCUCAGGGCAUGUCAGAAACACCAGCAAAUCAGUGACCAUUGUGCCAAUGAGCAGAGAGGUCAUGAACUAAGGGUUCACUAUCAACUUUGACCAGGGUCAAAAUAACAAAGAAAUUUUAUGCACUUUAACUGCAAAAUAUUAAAGCACUCCUAAAUAGAACUAGGUCCUAAAUAUGCAAUUUUUCAAAAGCUUUCUUUCAGAUGUAAGAAAAGCAAGAACAUUCUAUCCGUCUCAAAAAUUUUCCCUUGGUUACGGCAGGCAAGCUGUUCCAAAGGUUUAUGCUGAUGUCAACAGGUACAAAUCAGUGUCAGUCAAGAUAAAUUAACAUAGUCUACAGUUGGAGGUGGAAGCUUUACUGCACUGGAUGUAAACUUUCAAAUGCUUUCAUAUCAGGAAGUUGUCAACUACGUUUAUGCCAUCAUCCCAUCUUAAUACCUGCACAAGUACUUUCAUCCCUUUAAAAAUGUUAUGUAAGCUUUAUCACGCUGGACUUACCUCAAUAUUUAUGAUACAGUUAGAAACUGUUAUCAGCUAAUAACAACCUUGGUUAUUCAUUAACUCACUAAUAUAAAGGAAAAUUGAUGCAAUACUAGAAAAGGGGA